CUCUGUCUUUCAAUGUAGUAACACAGACACAUACAUAGACAAAACCAAAAUUGAAGCAAUCCGCCAUGUUGAUAGAUGAUGAUAGAAGACACAUGGCUUCCUAGCAAAAUCGCUUAAGUGAUUUUGUUUCUUAUAAAUAUUGAAUAUUAAUGUGUAAAUUGUGAAAAUAGGACGGAUUAAAUAUGGUAAAGUGCAAUGCCCCACUUUAUAGGAGUGCUACAUAUAAUAAAACACCUGACAUAACAUUUCAUAAAUUUCCAAAUGAUGUCCACUGAAGACAUUCCUGGUUGGCAAAUAUGAAUAUGACAAAUUGGCAGCCCACAAAAUCUUGUGUUAUGUUCAAAACAUUUUGAAAAUGAAUAUAGUAGUAAAUUGUUUUAUUUGUCAAUCAUUAAUGAUAGGCGUAAAAGAAAAUUUCUUGUGGUCAUUAAUAAACAAAAAGAUAGAGGAGGUUUGAUUUACCCAUCAGAUGUCUGAUUAAAAUUAUUCAAUCAUGUAAGAAGGUUUCGCAGAUGAUUAAAGGAAAAAUAUUAAUUACAAUUCUAUGAUUUCUUAUGUUGGUGAUUAUUUAAAUUACGACACAUUUGAUUCGCAAAAUAUCACUAUAAUAACUUGCAUUUAUUAAUUAGAAUUAUUAUUAAGUUUUACGUAGAUUUAAGGUGUAAAUACGAUGCAAAAAAAACUAACAACUGAACGAAAUUAUUUAAAAAAAAAAAAAUAGUCUUAUUUAAAAAUAAAUAAUUCGUAAAUUC